rnacentral:rRNA from 1 species
GAUGAACGCUGGCGGCGUGCUUAACACAUGCAAGUCGAACGGAAAGGCCCAAGCUUGCUUGGGUACUCGAGUGGCGAACGGGUGAGUAACACGUGGGUGAUCUGCCCUGCACUUCGGGAUAAGCCUGGGAAACUGGGUCUAAUACCGGAUAGGACGAUGGUUUGGAUGCCAUUGUGGAAAGUUUUUUCGGUGUGGGAUGAGCUCGCGGCCUAUCAGCUUGUUGGUGGGGUAAUAGCCUACCAAGGCGUCGACGGGUAGCCGGCCUGAGAGGGUGUACGGCCACAUUGGGACUGAGAUACGGCCCAGACUCCUACGGGAGGCAGCAGUGGGGAAUAUUGCACAAUGGGCGCAAGCCUGAUGCAGCGACGCCGCGUGGGGGAUGACGGCCUUCGGGUUGUAAACUCCUUUCGCUAGGGACGAAGCGUUUUUGUGACGGUACCUGGAGAAGAAGCACCGGCUAACUACGUG